rnacentral:rRNA from 1 species
AGUGAACGCUGGCGGUAGGCCUAACACAUGCAAGUCGAACGGCAGCACAGUAAGAGCUUGCUCUUACGGGUGGCGAGUGGCGGACGGGUGAGGAAUACAUCGGAGUCUACUUUUUCGUGGGGGAUAAUGUAGGGAAACUUACGCUAAUACCGCAUACGACCUACGGGUGAAAGCAGGGGAUCUUCGGACCUUGCGCGAUUGAAUGAGCCGAUGUCGGAUUAGCUAGUUGGCGGGGUAAAGGCCCACCAAGGCGACGAUCCGUAGCUGGUCUGAGAGGAUGAUCAGCCACACUGGAACUGAGACACGGUCCAGACUCCUACGGGAGGCAGCAGUGGGGAAUAUUGGAAAAUGGGCGCAAGCCUGAUCCAGCCAUACCGCGUGGGUGAAGAAGGCCUUCGGGUUGUAAAGCCCUUUUGUUGGGAAAGAAAAGCAGCAGGUUAAUACCCCGCUGUUCUGACGGUACCCAAAGAAUAAGCACCGGCUAACUUCGU